rnacentral:ncRNA from 2 species
GCAGACGAAGGCGAUGAAGUCCGCCGCAAACGCCCCGGGAUAGGUUCCAGGGCUGAUGACUUCUGUCCAACC